UUAGGAUAAACAAGUAGCUUUGUUUUGUCUUUAGUUUAUGUCCCAGGUAAUACUUGGGAUAUACUUAUGCUAGAAAAGUGCCCUCUUUUUAGGCUGAACUUUGAAUUU
rnacentral:miRNA from 1 species